ACGAACGCUGGCGGCGUGCUUAACACAUGCAAGUCGAACGAUGAAGCCUUUCGGGGUGGAUUAGUGGCGAACGGGUGAGUAACACGUGGGCAAUCUGCCCUUCACUCUGGGACAAGCCCUGGAAACGGGGUCUAAUACCGGAUAAUACUUCUGCCUGCAUGGGCGGGGGUUGAAAGCUCCGGCGGUGAAGGAUGAGCCCGCGGCCUAUCAGCUUGUUGGUGGGGUGAUGGCCUACCAAGGCGACGACGGGUAGCCG
rnacentral:rRNA from 9 species